UGAACGCUGGCGGCGUGCCUAAUACAUGCAAGUCGAGCGAGAAUCAGUCGAUCGGAGAUCGUCAAAGAGAAGCUGAGGAAAGCGGCGGACGGGUGAGUAACGCGUAGGCAACCUGCCCUUAGCAGAGGGAUAGCCAUUGGAAACGAUGAUUAAAACCUCAUAAUGCUGUUGGGACACAUGUCCCUGCAGCCAAAGAUUUAUCGGCUAAGGAUGGGCCUGCGUCUGAUUAACUAGUUGGUGAGGUAACGGCCCACCAAGGUGACGAUCAGUAGCCGACCUGAGAGGGUGAUCGGCCACAUUGGAACUGAGACACGGUCCAAACUUCUACGGAAGGCAGCAGUAAGGAAUCUUGCACAAUGGGGGAAACCCUGAUGCCAGCAACGCCGCGUGAACGAUGAAGGCCUUAGGGUUGUAAAGUUCUGAUCUGUGGGAAGAAGAAGUGACGGUACCACAGGAGAAAGCCCCGGCUAAAUACGUGCCAGCAGCUGC
rnacentral:rRNA from 1 species